GGAUGCGAUCAUACCAGCACUAAAGCAUCGGAUCCCAGCAGAACUCCGAAGUUAUGCGUGCUUGGGCGAGAGUAGUACUAGGAUGGGUGACCUCCUCGUGUUGCAUUCC
rfam:Triticum aestivum genome assembly, contig: Triticum_aestivum_CS42_TGACv1_scaffold_641855_T_4DL-0.192289_2BL-0.133239